GACGAACGCUGACGGUGUGCUUUAGACAUGCAAGUCGAACGAGAAAGCCCUUCGGGUGAGUACAGUGGCGAACGGGUGAGUAACACGUGGGCAAUCUGCCCCUCGCAGGGGGACAACCGUGGGAAACCGCGGCUAAUACCCCGUAAGCUCGAAAGGCCGCAUGGUUUUUCGAGGAAAGGUAGCUUCGGCCAUCCGGCGAGGGAUGAGCCCGCGGUGCAUUAGCUAGUUGGUGGGGUAACGGCCCACCAAGGCGACGAUGCAUAGCUGGUCUGAGAGGAUGAUCAGCCACACUGGGACUGAGACACGGCCCAGACUCCUACGGGAGGCAGCAGUCGGGAAUCUUGCGC
rnacentral:rRNA from 1 species